rnacentral:lncRNA from 1 species
CCUUGGUCUAUGUGCAUAUUAAACAAAGGACACAGAUGGAUUCAUGACAAAUUUGUGUUUUGGUGUUGGUGAUGUGUUUGAAGAUCUUACUUUAUUAAACAAUCUUGCUACUUACAAUGAUCUCUAUCUAUAUUGAAAUUGGCCCAGACGUGACAGUGGAAAAUAUUUUGUAAAAAUUGUUAAAAAUUUACAAAAUUUAUGAACAUUGUUAAAAAUUGACUAUAUAGGACAAUAACUCCUUAGGGGGUCAAUUGACCACUUUG